UACGGAGGGUCCAAGCGUUAUCCGGAAUCAUUGGGUUUAAAGGGUCCGUAGGCGGCCUGGUAAGUCAGUGGUGAAAGCCCAUCGCUCAACGGUGGAACGGCCAUUGAUACUGCCAGGCUUGAAUUCCAGGAAGCAACUAGAAUAUGUAGUGUAGCGGUGAAAUGCUUAGAUAUUACAUGGAAUACCAAUUGCGAAGGCAGGUUGCUACUGGUGGAUUGACGCUGAUGGACGAAAGCGUGGGUAGCGAACAGG
rnacentral:rRNA from 1 species